AGGCUGUAGACCCUUACAGGCUGUUUCCCUUGCCGUGCACUGAUCCUCCUCAGCUCCUCCUCGUCUGGUGAACCAGACCUUCCUCCUCUCGCCUUGGUGAAACGGCCUCCGACCCUCGCUGUUUCAACUCACUCUAUCGACAGUCCCACUGAAGCAAGCCCUUUCCCUGGCGCAGUUGUUCCAUAUUAACUGGACUGGACUUUUGGAUAUAUGUAUGCUGAAGACAUGGUGGCAUGGAGUUGCCAGCUGAAAGGAACGUUGUCCACACUGGUUGGAGCUGAGGGUUGUUUUGACUGCUUGGAGCUGGCAGACGUAGACAUGUCCCUUUGGAUUUCAACUGGAGCAGGUCUGAGAGGAAAUUCCUCUGGCACAGAGUGGGGGCAGGCAUGCCUUACCUCUGACAGUCUGGAUAAAACACUUUAGCGCCACUGCAGACUGAGAGCAGAGCGAGGAGAAGGCGGUGGCUGACAGCGUGUUGCUGUGUGUCGCUGUAAGCUGACAACCCUCAUCGGAGGGGAUUUCUGAAAGCAGUCCCAUUGAUUCUUUGUAUACUCUGUGGUGGCUUAUCACAUUGACCUCCUGCCCACCCCUGUUCUCUUUUUCUUCAGAGUGUGUUCACACACACCCAGACAUUUGGCCCAUCUGGAAAUAAUUAAAGAGGAAAAGGAAGGUGGGUGAGGUGGUCAAACCAAUUUUCCCAGUCAGUGAGACCCACCCUAAUUCUGCACGGUGUGGACUCUUAGUUAUUUCCCCACAAUCCCCUUGUAACACCAUUCCUCCUCUUUUGGUUCCCUCCUCUGCAUCACACAGAAUUCCUCUCUGACUAGAGCAGGGUUACUCUUCACUGAAUGUUUCCCAGUAUUCUGCAGCUCUGUAAUUGUCUGUAGCUAUCCUUAGCUCCCGUAACUUACACAGCAGAUUCACAUCAAAGCUCACGCUCACUCAGACGUGGUGGAUUGGUUUGAGCAGAGACUCGACUAGAAGGCAGUAGUUCCAGCUUACACUAUGCCCUAUGUACUGGAAACAGAAUGCAGUAGUACCAACAGUUCACUAACAAACACUGCUUAAUAACACCCUCACGCUUCAGGAUGAUGAGGUAUGGAAAAACCCAAAAAUGACAAUUGUAUCGAUCUAACUUUGAGGAGUUCAACGCAGAAAUGCUGCACAAACUACUGAGUCAACAUGUAGACACAAAACUGAAGCGCUAAAGUGUUUAAGACAUUUAUUAUGCAUACUGUCAAGAGUCAUAGAAAUCAAUCUAAAAAUGUUUUGUUUAAAGACUGGACUUUCA